CUAGUUAUCUUAACAGAAAAAUAUGAUAUUUUAGAAAAGUCAACAUUACGCAAACACAUUACACGUAAACGCAGCCACUUCUAGAAUAUAGGACAAACCAUGUAGGGAACAGUCCAACAACAACUACAAAAUAAAAAAUCUGUUACAGAACCAAACAUACAUAUAACAUAGAUGUAAUACCAACAAGACACAAUACUUCGACAGGGAACUCCGCCAGUCGCCAUUGCUCGAAGUCACUGUCCUUCUCCAAUUGGUCGAUCCUGUCAUUGAGAUUCUCAAUCAUUUCUUUAAGUUCAAUAUUCCUUAAGACCAAGUACUCGUAAGCUAGAACACCAUCUUCUUCAUUGGGGUCGUCAUUAUAUUCUUUUUUUCUUGCACCCAAAUAAACUGUUGCAUCCGCCAUUGACUUCUCGACAUCCAAAGUACUGAUCCGUGUGACCAUCCACGUUAUUAUUGUCGAAUGGAAAGAUACAUGCUGGUAGGUUACAAAAGCACGUCACUUUUAGAGUCAUUUUACAAACAAUAAGGAAGGAGUGGAGAAUAAGUGGAGCAUAAGUGGAGAAUGAGAGGUUGUUAAAAAUAUAUAAAAAGAAAGUAGUGUUUAUUUCACUUCAACUAUCUGCCUUUACUUUAACCACUUUUAUUAAAUUAGGAGGGUGACCAACUACACUAACCCAAAUUAAAUGUUGUCAUAAAGGCAGUAGUGUUAUCCACACAUUACAUACAUGUUACGUGUAUGUUAUAUGAUUAAAAUUUUACUCAAACAAAUAAUAUUGCUACCUAGAAAUGUACAAAGUUGAUAUUUUGAUUGCCUUUGACACCUUACAUGCUAUGAAACUGAGAUACAUAGCUAAACAUAAAAAAUUUGAUGUUAAGAUUGACAUUUUGAAAGCUUUUGACACAAUUGAUUGGUGACACCUACAGGAAAUCUUGAAGCAGCUUGAACUUGCACUAAGAUGGGUGAAGUGGAUCAUGAUGUGUGUGCAGUCGGUAGAAUAUCUAGUUGCGGUCAACUCCGAGUUGGUGUGGCCGAUUGUGCCAGAGAGGGGCCUUAGAAAAGGGUGCCCACUAUCACCAUUUCUUUUUGUCUUGGGUACCGAAGGAUUGUCAGCUCUUCUGAGAAGAGAGAAGUGGGUUGGCCAAAUCCAUGGGUGUGCGGGUUUGCAGGCGAGCCCCGACGAUGUCACACCUUCUUUUUAUUGACAAUAGUUUCUUCUUUUUUGUAUAACAUGGAUCGAGGAGGUGAGGCACAUGUAACAAAUUGUUAGACUAUACGAAGGGUCAUCUGGCCUGUUCAUUAACCUUCAGAAAUCGAGAGUGUUCUUCAACCCUCAUACGCAUAUGAUGAUUAGAGUAGGAGUCAGGAAUAUAUUGGAGAUCCAUAUAGCACUAGACACAUGACCAUAUUUGGGGAUGCCUUCACUAGUGGGACAAAGCAAAAGAGCAAUUUUCAACUCUCUGAAAGAGAGAAUUUGGAGGCGGCAACAAGGUUAUUGGGGGGAACCCAUUGUCAAAGGGUAGGAAGGAGAUUCUUCUUAAAGUUGUUGCUCAAGUUUUACAUGUGUAUUAUAUGAAUGUCUCCUUAGUGCCAGGUAUGCUUCUGAAGAUUUAGCAGAUGAUCAAUAGUUUCUAGUGGGGGCAAAGGGUAAAGGAGGAGGCAAUGUUAUAUUGAUGAGAUGGGAACGUUUGUGUGUGCAGAAAGAAUUAGGUGGGAUGGGAUUCCUUGAUCUAUACGGUUUUAACGUGGAAAUGCUUGGUAAACAGGAUUGGCAGCUUUUCACAAAUAGUUUGACUUUGAUGAGCAGAAUCCUCAAAGCUAAAUAUUAUCUGACAAGAGAUUUUUUAUCGACUAAUCUAGGCUCAAAUUCAAGUCUCACUUGGCGUAGUAUUGUGGAGGCGAGGGUGGCUAUGCUAGAAGGGUAUCGUUGGAAGGUUGGAAAUGGACAUCAGAUUCGAGUAUGGAUAGAUCCAUGGAUAUGCAAGGAAUGUAACAUGCAUGUGGAAUCGGAUUCACCUUUCCUUAGUUGGAUUUGUGUGUUAGUGCUCUUAUUGAGCCUCAUAGUACAUAUUGGGAAAAGCAUAGGGUGUGCAGCUUAUUCCACCCAUGUGAGGCAUAUGUGAUUCUGGCUAUGCUGAUUGUGGGAAAUGGGGAGGACCGGCCGAUUUGGACUCUUAGCAAAAAUCGAGAUUAUAGUGUGCGAUCAGCCUAUCGGCUAUUGUUAGAGCAUAGUGAAAGUACUAGACGAAGUUGUGGGAUUUGAAGAUCUCGCCGGAAUUAAAACACUUUGCUUGAAGAGUAGUGCGUGGUGUCCUGGCAACGCGGGAUAAUCUGCAGAACCGGCAUAUCGAUGUAUCAUGGGAAUGUGGUGUUGGCUUGAGUGAGAUUAAAAUAGGGUGGAAUCUCUUCUUAGAAUGUAGCUUCGCAUGGGAAUGUUGGGAAGCUGAUGGUGUGAGCAGCAUGGUGGAAAGUACACAAAACAGGAGGGAGUCUAUUGAGGAGUGGGUUGAUAUUAUUUUGAAAUAGACUCUAGCACCAGCUAUUCAAAAGAUUGUGGCGAUUAUAUGAGUCUUGUGGCAGGAGAGAAUUGACAGGGUGUGAAAUGCUAGCGUUUGGUCCUUUUCUCAUAGUAAAGUGAGUGAGACCUCCCGAGUUUCCUUAAAGGCACCCACCGGCAGAGCGUUACUUCAAAUGCAACAUUGAUGCCACGGUUUUCACAGAUAGCAGGGAGUUCAGCAUUGGCCUUUGCCUGUGUGAAGAUUUAGGAGAGUUAGUGUAGCUUAAGACAUGCAGGAGGUGAGGUAGCAGUGUUUUGAAAGAAGGGGAAGCAAUAGCUCUGUUGCAUGGUGUGAAACCCAAUCGAAACAUGUGGUUUGACCCAUGCAUUUACUUCCCUGUUCACUCAUCACAUAAUCAUAUAUAAACAUAGACAAUAAAGUCUGAAUCCUGAAUCUCAUCAUAACAUGGUAAACAACAACGUAUGAAAGCAUAGCAACUAAGGCUUGAAAUCAAAUACCAAACAUCCAUGAAAAAUCAUCCCAAACAGGGAAAAAGUGAAAUAAUUGAAAACAUCUGAAAUUUGAAUAUAUGAAAACACCUAAAAACAUGAAAAUGGAUAAUUGAGGUCCUCAAAGGUACCUCUAUCUACGACUCCCGAAGCCACUCGGUCGAGGUGUCACUACUGCUCGGGUAGCUCUCUUAGGAGGCAUUUUCUCAUGAAUUUCCAUAUUCGUUCAUACAAGAAGAAAAGACUAGGUCAGUAAUAACCCCUGAAUUAAUAAACUUGAUUUGCGUAGAACUGAACUAGAAUCUAGUAAUGUGACCCUAUGGUCCCGUAUGCAUCAACCACCCCUAACUGUUAGCGGCCAGCCUCAUGGUGGAUCAGACCAUGAAACUAUCCUGAAUACCAUGUGACUAACAUCCAUAGGCAUACUCAGCGCCUCUUGCCUGAGCCUGAACUAUAACCUGGAAGAUUGUGCAAUCCAUGGGUGGGUGACCAACGUGUAUCGGGAGCUAUCUAGAUAAACUUAAUCCUGUCCUAACCUGAACAGUGAAUCACACAUAGCAGUUCAAUUGCCAAAACCAUAUGUUCAAAAUACUACAAUUACCUGUACAAUAGAUCACACGUUAUUGUACUGUGUAGAGAGCCAUGCUCUGCAUCACAACACCUAUACAGUAGACCAAAUGCUAAUGUACAGUCCUGAGAGCCUUGCUCUGAAUCACAACACAUGUACAGUAGAUCACACGCUACUGUAUAGUCUUGAGAACCCGAUCAUUGUAUUCCUAACAACAUAUUACAGUUGUGUGCUUAAAGAAGAAAAUUAAUCCUACACCCCACCUUUGAUAUGCUCUACUAGAAGAGUCUUAUAUCAAGAUGCCUUUCCAGCGCUCUAUAUCAAAAUCCACCUCAUGUACUACUGGGACAUCCUUGAUCCAUCCAUCUGUAUCUAGAAGAACAUGAGCUAGGAAAGCUUCACAUCCUCCCUUGAUCAGUCUCUCUGCCCUCAAGGGUGAUAUGAAAGGACGUUCGCGGUACUCUAACCCCUGAACCCCAAAGAUGACAACAUCCUCUUUAUUAGGAGUGGAUAACUUGAUCGUCUUCUUCUUAUAGUGCACCAUCGCUCCAUGGUGCUCCAGCCAAUCCAUUCUCAAGAUCAUAUCGAACUCAUCAAAAGGAAGAAAGAUGAGGUUCACUGUGAACUCCCUAUCCUCCCUCUACCCAAGACUCCACCAAGAGAGUCUUCCCUACUGGGUACUAACUCGGAAUGAUCUAUUUAUCCUAUUAGGCAUAAAGGACAAAAGACAAAUGACAGUGGCAGAGAUGAAAGAGUAUGAAGCACCCGUAUCAAACAAAGCAUGAAAGAAUUUUCAAGAAAUAACCACCGUACCCGUGAUGGUAUCUGAAGCGACCUCUGCCUCAGAUCUGGUGGCAUGCACCCUACUCUGUGCCUCUAUGUUUCUCCCUUGAAACAUUUGUUGCCCAAGGGAACUGCAUUAGCUCUCAUAAGUGGAGCCUUAAUUUUUCCACCUCCGGUCUGACUCCUAGACGGAGUCAGUCCCUGUCGUACCAUCGCCUAUGACGCUACUCGCUUGCUCAGCCUAGUGCACUCUCGAGCAAAGUAUCCCAGCUGCCCGCACCAAAAGCAAACCCCUGCUUUCUUUAGAAAAGCUCCCUAGUGCCGCAUCGCACACUCUGGUCAAAGGUGAUGAUCAAGCCCUAUAGUAGACUGCUUCUAUUGCUCUGUUAGGGUGAUAGAGGUAGAGAACUGAGUCUGUGGUGCAGGAGUACCAUGAUGUGUAUCCCUCCUCCUCUUAGGUGAUGGCGGCAGCUACGACCCGCCUCAAGCUACCUUCCUCUUCUUCUCCUCCUGCCAAGCAUGGCCCUCUACCUUCCGCACACCCUCAAAGUGUUCAGCCCUCAAGGCUACUGCCUUGGUAUCUGCCAAGGAAUCCAUGUCACUACUAGUGACCUCGAUCUGAAAUGCGGUCUUAGCCCAUCCAGGAAAAUCUGCUUCACGUCCUCCAUCUUUUGCUCAGGGGAGCCCUUGUACCACCUGCUCAACUUGAUGUUAUGUUGUAGUAGUCAACCAACUUCAUCUCUCCCUAUCUGAGACUGAAAAAAACAGCCCUCUUAUUCUGCUGCCACUGCUCUGGCAUGACCUCCUUCUUGAAAAUGACUAAGAACUCUUCUCAGUCCCUUCCAAAUAGAUCAUCUUCAACCUCCAACUAACUGCUCCACCACCCCUUUGUUGCACCUCUCAACAGGUAAACAACAUACAACACUCUCUGCUCUCACGCAUUGGUCAGGUAUGUCAGCCAAUCAACUGCUAACUGAGGAUCUGUAGUCUUCCCAUCAAAAGUAAUGGAGCCCACAUAAGUCAGCUCCUUGAAAUCCAACCUAAGCAGAAAUGGAUCCCUCAUCAUCUCGACCGACCCCUAGUGAUCUCUACACACUUAAAGGUACCAUUCAACAUCCCUUUUUUCUUAAAACUUAUCUCUAUUUCUAAAAAACGUUGAAAACUAUUUUCAAAAACCUCGACCAUGCCUGUGGUGUACCCUUCGUCACACCCGUGGAAAGCACGUAGCCAUGCCCGUGACUAGCAUCACCACGCCCGUGAUAUACAUCCCUUCACGCCCGUGCCAAAUGACUGACCACACCCGUGGUCAUCACUUAGUCACAGCCAUUACCCACAAAUAGCCACGCAUGUGGUGGGUUGUCCAUCAUGUCUGUGAUGUACUAUCCGCCACGCCGGUGGCUGACCCAUCCAUUUCAAAAACAUACACAAUAAAGACUGAAUCCUGAAUGUCAUCAUAACAUGAUAAACGACAACGUAUGAAAACUGAGCAACUAAGGCUCGAAAUCAAAUACUAAACAUCCAUGAAAAAUCAUACCAAACAGGGGAAGUCAACAUCAAGAGAUAAGCAACUAAAAUAAUUGAAAAUAUCUGAAAUCCGAAUACAUGAAAACAUGUGAAAACAUGAAAAGGGAUAAUUGACGUCCUCCAAGGUACCUCUCUUUACGAAUUCUGGAGCCACUCAAUCGAGGUGUCGCUGCUGCUCGUGUAGCUCUCUUAGUCGACAUUUGCUCAUGAGGUUCCAUAGUCGUUCAUACAAGAAGAAAAGACGGGGUCAGUGAUAAGCACUGAGUGACUAAACCAGACUUGCGUAGAACUAAACUAGCAUCUAGUAAUAUGACCAUGUUGUCUUGUAGGCAUCAACCUAGCAUCAGCCACCCCUAGCCGUGAGCGAGCGGUCUCAUGGUGGAUCAGACCAUGAAACCACACUGAAUACCGAGUGAGUAGCAUCUGUAGGUAUACUCAACAUGUCCUACUUGAGCCUGAACUGUAACUUGGGGGAUUGCGUAAUCGAUGGGUGGGUGACCAAUGCGUAAUCGAGAGCUAUUUAGCUAAGCCUAAUCUUGUCCUAACAUGAACUGUGAAUCACACCCCACAGUUCAAUCGCGAAGAGCUUGAAAUAGUACAACUGUCUGUACAGUAGAUCACACGCUAUUGCACAAUCCUGAGAGCCCUGCUCUUAAUCACAACACAUGUGUAGUAUAUCACACGCUAUUGUACAAUCAUAAGAGACUUCCUCUGAAUCAAAACACCUAUACAAUAGAUCACAUGCUACAAUACAGUCCUGAGAACCCGAUCAUUGGAUUUCUGACAACAUAUUACAGUUCUAUGCUUAAGGCAAAAAAUUAUCCUAACCCCCACCUCUGAUAUGGUCUACUAGUAAAGUCUUAUAUCAAGAUGUCUUUCCAGAGCUCAAGUCUCCCAUUCCGUUUGACUUGAAGAGAUCAAUCAAAGGAUUGAAAUCCCAAAACCCCAAUCCUAAACUGUCAGGAUUUACCCCAAUCCUAAACGUAGGUUUCCAAUCAAAGGACAGAUUACUUUCUGAAGCUUCCGCCCGAUCUCUAAACCUCUGCUAUCAGGCUGGGAUCGAUCAACUCUGCCUCCUCCACCACCUAAAAGUAAUCGCCGUUCGUCAAAUGAUUUCCAAGUUUUACCGUUUCUGUAAAUUUUGAGUUGUUCUGGCAGUGAACUUCGAACCAGCAAAAAAAAUUAUGGAGUUUGGAGACAUCAUCCUCCAAUGCCAUAUCAUUUUAUGUUUAAACUGUUAUAUAUGGUUAGCUUUGUAAGAAGGAAAAGUAACGACGCGGUUCAUGUGUUAGCUAAGCAGUCUAAGUUUAUUGUGUCUCCUAGUGUUGGGGUUACACCUCCUCAGUUUUUACAACCUUGUUUAAAUAAUAUGUUUUGAGAUUUAUAAAUAAUAAAUAAGUACCGAUAUGUUCAAGAAAAAAUAACAAACACAUAAUAUUCCUUGCAAUACCCAGCAAACAUCCAUAAUAGAGCAUAAAGAUAACAUAGUUAUACAGCAACCUAAUAAACAUAAGGCUUAAAACUUUACAUUGACACAAACUAUAGCUUAAUUAUACGUUUAUAUUGGUAUAUAUUAUAAUUUCAGAAAUGUCACAACCUAUCAAAGCUUUCAAAACAUCUGGCACGACGUUAAAUUUCGUCCAUUUUUGUUUGUAUGAGCUGAAACUUUUACAUAUGUGGCAUAAAAGUUGGGAAGGUGGCAAGUUUAGGGUUGCUAACUGGAUUCGGUAUUUCUUACUAGUGGUGUGUACAUUAAAAAAGAAAAUUUAAAAUUUGGCAGAAAUUAAAAUUUAGGUGAAUUUUUGGUAGGCCCCCUCCCAUUAGAUCCCCCGUCACGUAAGCCUAUUACUGAGUAGACAUUGAUAAUUAGUUGGUUUAGUCCUUCUACAAAUUGAUUGGUUCGUGCAAUUCCCCUACUAUAUAUAUUUGCAAGUUAUAAUUACUAAUCUUCAGAAGUUUUCAGCUGUUACCUCGAAACCCAAUAAAACUCAAACCGAACCCUUCAUAGAUUAGGAUCAAACCCUUGAAUAGUUUUUUUUUACCUUUGUUUUUGGAAUCUAUUUUGUUUUUUUUGCUUGGUUAUGCUUAAGGAAAUUGAAGGUUUUCUGCACUUGCAUGCGUAAGUCUUUAGUGACAUCUUAUGAUUUGGUUUGGUGUCUUUUUAUUGAUGAAUAUGAGAAUGGUAGUGGCCUUAGCAGGAUUGUAGUUCAGCCUUAAGCACACUACAUUAUAUAUUUAGUAUUACAUUAUGUUUCCAAUUCUAAUUAGUCUGAAUUGAUGCAGCGUAGGAAAUGAUCAAGGAUUUUUCCAUAUUGGACAAGGGAAUCCAGCUUGAUCAAAGAACUGCAUUCAGCUUAGGUUGUCAAACGAAAAAAAUGCAAAACAAAGAAAGAUUUUAACUUCUGGAGAGAAUUAAGGUGUUUGGGGAAGAGUUAGAUGAGUUGUAUACCUUUGCUGCUUCUUUUCCUUCUCCAGAGUAGGCGAGUAGACAGUCUCACCACCUGAUGACAACUAAAGGUCAUCAAACAGAGCAAAAAUCUUCAGGGGUACGGUUUGAACUACCCCUUAUGAUUAUAUUUACCACAAAAUCAAAAUGAUUAUUCGAUCUAACUCAUAAAAAGAUAGUCGGGUGAAAAUGCAUGUCUCAACCGAACAAUUCAAUGAAUAUUUCGAUUUAGACUUCAAAUCGAGCUCAAACUAUUUGUGCGGUAGAUUUUAGUUAUUAAUGAAACUACGAGAAUAAAAAAAAGUAUAAUUGAAAUAUUUGAUGGUUCGUAGGGUCAUUAAUUAAGGUGCACAGUUAACAUUUAUGUAACGUCACGUUGGGGUCUACAGGUAGGGUGGUCUGUCGAAGUAUGAUACUAAAAUUUAUUUGAAGGUUGGCCACGAGAAAUUAGAAACUUUAUUUUCAGUUUAUGAGUCACAACUAGUACGCGCUUUGUUACGCUGACGUCUAUCACAUGGUCUCCACAGAGUUCUCCUCCGUAAAUAAACGAAAGUAGGUGAAUCAUUUGGAUAAACUCUCUUCAGCCGUCGUCGUGACGUCGAUUGGAAUCUGAAGCUAAAGAUCCUAGAUCUGGUAACAAAACACCAUGGUGAAGGCUUCUAAAUUUUAUGUCUAAAGAUAACGUUAAUUCACUUCUUUAAAUUCCUUUCUUUCGUUUUGAACUCUUCUAAAUAUUGUAUAGCUUCGCAAAGAGUUGUUGACGUUGAUUUUUCGCAUUGAGAAUACGAUACGACACUAAUACUGCAGCCUAUCAGCGUGCAUGAGACUCGAGUUUUCCCAUUGUUAGUUUGGUCGUUGUAAACCUACCUUGAUAAUGCUCCAUGUACAUCAGCGCGUACUACCGUUUUGUGUUAUCUAGCUGAAUCGGCAAAGAAGGGACCUUCCAUGGGAAUGGUCCUAUGUUCAAACCACUGACUUCCAAAAUGACGUUCCUAACAUGCAUAAUCAGUCUUGGCUUGGUCGGUUUGUAAUAUCGCUUAUGUGCAAAAUCACCAAUACAAGUCAUGUUUUUUAGGGCUGGAAAACGGAUACAGAUUAUUUGGAUUUAACCAAAUCUGAAGAUCAAACAUCGGAUAACAGAUAUUUGCUACCAGUAUAGUUUGGAUAAUGGGUAAGGAUACGGUUUUGAAAUUUAGCUUCGAAGCGGAUAUAUAAAUAUUUGCUAUCCGCAUCCUUUUACCCAAAUACAAUAGAAAAUAACUGUAACUAAAAAUUUGUACAACCUAAUAACCGAUUUUAGCUAUUUAAUGGGGAAACAUACAUUAGACUAUGAUUUGCUUAGUGUGAAAAUUAUUAUAUUGAGAUUUGUAUUUUUGACUUACAAAUUUGUAAAAUGUUCAAAAGACGACAUUUUUUGGGCGGAUGAAAAUCGAUAUUUGAAUUUUAUUUGGAUAAUUAUUUGGAUAAUCAAUUAUAUAUGGAACCGGUUGAAAAAUGAUAUAGGUUAAUGUUAACCGCUCAUUAUAUUCAAAAUAGAUAGAAUUAGUCAUUUUAGUCCUAAAGUCCAUUCUCUACCUCCACGCAGGCAGCAUAUUGGAAGAUAAGAAAAACACUUUAAUGGUAAUAAUGCAAUCCAUCUAAUAAAAACUCUAAGAGGACGUUUGUAACUAACCAUUAUAGUAGUAGGGAAGCAGAAUCGUGUUUAUUUGGAGUUCCCUAUUAAGCUGGUGGGCCAUGGCAUCUAUACUGGUGGUGCAGAUAUCUCGACCGAACUGCAUUGUUUUCAAUUCAAACAUAUGCAGCUUUAUCUAAGGGAAAAAUACAUACCAAUCUUGUAGGAGAUGAAAGAAUGUAGGUCACAAUCUUUAGGGAGAUGAAGAUGAUGGUUUAGUUGUACGCUUCAAGGACUUCCUGCUGGAAUUCGAACCGUAAUAGUUGGGCCAUUAUGUAUUUGUUACGCUGCAUUUACGUCCACCG
rnacentral:lncRNA from 1 species